rnacentral:rRNA from 1 species
AUUGAACGCUGGAGGCAGGCCUAACACAUGCAAGUCGAACGAGUGGCGAACGGGUGAGUAAUGUAUGGGAAACUGCCCGAUGGAGGGGGAUAACGAAGGGAAACGGUAGCUAAUACAGCAUACGAACGGAGGUGCCCCGAUGGGAUUAGCUAGUAGGUGGGGUAACGGCUCACCUAGGCGACGAUCCCUAGCUGGUCAGAGAGGAUGACCAGCCACACUGGAACUGAGACACGGUCCAGACUCCGACGGGAGGCAGCAGUGGGGAAUAUUGCACAAGGGGCGCAAGCCUGAUGCAGCCAUGCCGCGUGUAUGAAGAAGGCCUUCGGGUUGUAAAGUACUUUCAGCGAGGAGGCGUUACUCGCAGAAGAAGCACCGGCUAACUCCGUGCCAGCAGCCGCGGUAAUUC